CCUACGCGCGGCAGCAGUGGGGAAUAUUGCACAAUGGGGGAAACCCUGAUGCAGCGACGCCGCGUGAGUGAAGAAGUAUUUCGGUAUGUAAAGCUCUAUCAGCAGGGAAUAAAAAGACGGUACCUGACUAAGAAGCCCCGGCUAACUACGUGCCAGCCGCCGCGGUAAUACGUAGGGGGCAAGCGUUAUCCGGACUUACUGGGGGGAAAGGGAGCGUAGACGGGACGGGAAGUUCGAAGUGAAAGCCCAAGGCUUAACCAUGGGACUGCUUUUGAAACUGUGGAACUUGAGUGCGGGAGUGGGAAGCGGAAUUCCUAGUGUAGCGGUGAAAUGCGUAGAUAUUAGGAGGAACACCAGCGGCGAAGGCGGCCUACUGGACCGUAACUGACGUUGAGGCUCGAAAGCGUGGGGAGCAAACAGGAUUAGAUACCCGUGUAGUC
rnacentral:rRNA from 1 species